rnacentral:rRNA from 1 species
AUUGAACGCUGGCGGCAUGCCUUACACAUGCAAGUCGAACGGCAGCAUGAUCUAGCUUGCUAGAUUGAUGGCGAGUGGCGAACGGGUGAGUAAUACAUCGGAACGUGCCCUGUAGUGGGGGAUAACUAGUCGAAAGAUUAGCUAAUACCGCAUACGACCUGAGGGUGAAAGUGGGGGACCGCAAGGCCUCAUGCUAUAGGGGCGGCCGAUGUCUGAUUAGCUAGUUGGUGAGGUAAAGGCUCACCAAGGCGACGAUCAGUAGCUGGUCUGAGAGGACGAUCAGCCACACUGGGACUGAGACACGGCCCAGACUCCUACGGGAGGCAGCAGUGGGGAAUUUGGACAAUGGGCGAAAGCCUGAUCCAGCAAUGCCGCGUGUGUGAAGAAGGCCUUCGGGUUGUAAAGCACUUUUGUCCGGAAAGAAAUGGCUCUGGUUAAUACCUGGGGUCGAUGACGGUACCGGAAGAAUAAGGACCGGCUAACUACGUG